ACUGACGCUGAUGGACGAAAGCGUGGGGAGCGAACAGGAUUAGAUACCCUGGUAGUCCACGCUGUAAACGAUGCUAACUCGUUUUUGGGGCGCAAGCUUCAGAGACCAAGCGAAAGUGAUAAGUUAGCCACCUGGGGAGUACGAACGCAAGUUUGAAACUCAAAGGAAUUGACGGGGGCCCGCACAAGCGGUGGAUUAUGUGGUUUAAUUCGAUGAUACGCGAGGAACCUUACCAAGACUUAAAUGGGAAUUGAUCGGUUUAGAAAUAGACCUUCCUUCGGGCAAUUUUCAAGGUGCUGCAUGGUUGUCGUCAGCUCGUGCCGUGAGGUGUUAGGUUAAGUCCUGCAACGAGCGCAACCCCUGUCACUAGUUGCCAUCAUUCAGUUGGGGACUCUAGUGAGACUGCCUACGCAAGUAGAGAGGAAGGUGGGGAUGACGUCAAAUCAUCACGGCCCUUACGUCUUGGGCCACACACGUAAUACAAUGGCCGGUACAGAGGGCAGCUACACAGCGAUGUGAUGCGAAUCUCGAAAGCCGGUCUCAGUUCGGAUUGGAGUCUGCAACUCGACUCUAUGAAGCUGGAAUCGCUAGUAAUCGCGCAUCAGCCAUGGCGCGGUGAAUACGUUCCCGGGCCUUGUACACACCGCCC
rnacentral:rRNA from 1 species